rnacentral:piRNA from 1 species
GACAACUGACCUUGUUGAUGAAU